rnacentral:rRNA from 1 species
AACGAACGCUGGCGGCAGGCCUAACACAUGCAAGUCGAGCGAGCAUUUCGGUGCUAGCGGCGGACGGGUGAGUAACGCGUGGGAACGUGCCCUUUUCUGCGGAAUAGUCCUGGGAAACUGGGGGUAAUACCGCAUACGCCCUUUUGGGGAAAGAUUUAUCGGAGAAGGAUCGGCCCGCGUUGGAUUCGGUAGUUGGUGGGGUAAUGGCCCACCAAGCCGCCGAUCCAUAGCUGGUUUGAGAGGAUGAUCAGCCACACUGGGACUGAGACACGGCCCAGACUCCUACGGGAGGCAGCAGUGGGGAAUCUUAGACAAUGGGGGCAACCCUGAUCGAGCCAUGCCGCGUGAGUGAUGAAGGCCUUAGGGUUGUAAAGCUCUUUCAGCUGGGAAGAUAAUGACGGUACCAGCAGAAGAAGCCCCGGCUAACUCCGUG